rnacentral:rRNA from 1 species
GAUGAACGCUGGCGGCGUGCCUAAUACAUGCAAGUCGAGCGAACAGACGAGGAGCUUGCUCCUCUGACGUUAGCGGCGGACGGGUGAGUAACACGUGGAUAACCUACCUAUAAGACUGGGAUAACUUCGGGAAACCGGAGCUAAUACCGGAUAAUAUAUUGAACCGCAUGGUUCAAUAGUGAAAGACGGUUUUGCUGUCACUUAUAGAUGGAUCCGCGCCGCAUUAGCUAGUUGGUAAGGUAACGGCUUACCAAGGCAACGAUGCGUAGCCGACCUGAGAGGGUGGUGGCCCACCGUGGAGGUGGACCGCGGCCAAGGCGCCUACGGGAGGCACCAGUGGGGAAUCUUCGGCAGUGGGGGGAAGCCUGGCGCAACGGGCGGGAGUGUGAGAUAAAGGCGUCGGGUUCGAAAAACUGUUUUUUGGGUGAAAAACAAAUUUGUAAUUAAAUGUGCCGUUCUUGACGGUACUUAAUAAAAAAGCCCCGGCUAACUACGUG